UCCAUUUUCCACUCCAUACUUUCCACGUAUAGUUGACUUGAUAGGAUUUUUAGGGUUUUUAUAAUGUACAUUGUCUCUGAUAGCACUCCUUUUGUCAGCUAGGAUCAUUACAAUUUACAACCUUGUCGUUAUGUCAACAUUAGAAAUUAGGUUAUAAAUUAUGACUCUCCCUUUUGUAUUUCACAAUCUCCAUUUUGGUUGGCUUGUCUCAUAUCUUCUUCUUCAUCAAUCCCACUGCUAUGGACAAACAAACAGUUGUAUUUCUCCUGCUGCUGCUUCUCCUGGCUUCAGAAAUUGAGAGUGGAAAUGCUGUAAUUUGUGAGAAAGCGAGCAAGAAGGCACCACCAGAUACAUGUCCAGAUGAUGAACAACAGUGCGCCAAAAUUUGCACUGGUAAGGAGAGAGCCAACGAUGGAAAGUGCCAUGCUUCUGGUUGCUUCUGUUAUUUCGACCGUUGUUGAUCUCAAUAUAAGUGGAGAAAACUAUAGUUAUAAGGAUGGAGAUAAUCCCAAAUAAUUCUCUAUGUAAAUGUUACUACUCUCUGAAUCCACAAACUUAUAAUGUUUCAGCUGUUUUACAUGGUUUUUAUGCGAGUGUUCUGUUUUAGCUAUUAAGAAAAGUUGUAAUGAUGGUAUCCCUAAAAGAUGAUCAGCAGUUGACUGAGAGGGCGGUCUGUUGGCUAACUAUACCAGAAAUCUUAUAGAUAUUGUCAAUGGAUUGAUAUUUCUUAUGAAAGCUUCAAAUUUCUCACAAAAUGUUUGAUCAGAAAUACACAGGUUUUAUGGUGUAUAAA